rnacentral:rRNA from 1 species
AGCUUCUUGGCGGCAGGCCUAACACAUGCAAGUCGAGCGGUAGAGAGGUGCUUGCACCUCUUGAGAGCGGCGGACGGGUGAGUAAUGCCUAGGAAUCUGCCUGGUAGUGGGGGAUAACGCUCGGAAACGGACGCUAAUACCGCAUACGUCCUACGGGAGAAAGCAGGGGACCUUCGGGCCUUGCGCUAUCAGAUGAGCCUAGGUCGGAUUAGCUAGUUGGUGAGGUAAUGGCUCACCAAGGCGACGAUCCGUAACUGGUCUGAGAGGAUGAUCAGUCACACUGGA